rnacentral:rRNA from 1 species
CUCCCAAACCCAAUGUGAACGUUACCAAACUGUUGCCUCGGCGGGAUCUCUGCCCCGGGUGCGUCGCAGCCCCGGACCAAGGCGCCCGCCGGAGGACCAACCAAAACUCUUAUUGUAUACCCCCUCGCGGGUUUUUUACUAUCUGAGCCAUCUCGGCGCCCCUCGUGGGCGUUUCGAAAAUGAAUCAAAACUUUCAACAACGGAUCUCUUGGUUCUGGCAUCGAUGAAGAACGCAGCGAAAUGCGAUAAGUAAUGUGAAUUGCAGAAUUCAGUGAAUCAUCGAAUCUUUGAACGCACAUUGCGCCCGCCAGUAUUCUGGCGGGCAUGCCUGUCCGAGCGUCAUUUCAACCCUCGAACCCCUCCGGGGGGUCGGCGUUGGGGAUCGGCCCUUUACGGGGCCGGCCCCGAAAUACAGUGGCGGUCUCGCCGCAGCCUCUCCUGCGCAGUAGUUUGCACACUCGCAUCGGGAGCGCGGCGCGUCCACAGCCGUUAAACACCCCAAACUUCUGAAAUGUUGACCUCGGAUCAGGUAGGAAUACCCGCUGAACUUAAGCAUAUCAAUAAGCGGAGGAAAAGAAACCAACAGGGAUUGCCCCAGUAACGGCGAGUGAAGCGGCAACAGCUCAAAUUUGAAAUCUGGCCCCUCGGGGUCCGAGUUGUAAUUUGUAGAGGAUGCUUUUGGUGAGGUGCCGCCCGAGUUCCCUGGAACGGGACGCCACAGAGGGUGAGAGCCCCGUCUGGCUGGCCACCGAGCCUCUGUAAAGCUCCUUCGACGAGUCGAGUAGUUUGGGAAUGCUGCUCAAAAUGGGAGGUAUAUGUCUUCUAAAGCUAAAUAUUGGCCAGAGACCGAUAGCGCACAAGUAGAGUGAUCGAAAGAUGAAAAGCACCUUGAAAAGAGGGUUAAAUAGUACGUGAAAUUGUUGAAAGGGAAGCGCUUGUGACCAGACUUGGGCGCGGCGGAUCAUCCGGGGUUCUCUCCGGUGCACUUCGCCGCGUCUAGGCCAGCAUCAGUUCGUCGCGGGGGAAAAAGGCUUCGGGAACGUGGCUCCUCCGGGAGUGUUAUAGCCCGUUGCAUAAUACCCUGCGG